AAUAACCAAACGACCAAAACCAACAUAAGCGCACGAUCCCGCACACAGACAGGUGGGGCCGCCUCCAUUCGUUCCUCUUCUUCCUCCCAAGUUGCAACCUCCAGCGCCGCGCCGUUGCGCCUGGUUCCACAGUUCACGCCCAUGGCGGCGCCUCCGCCAGCGGACAGCCGCCUCCUCAUUGUAUACGCCUCGCAGACGGGGGACGCUAUAUACGCCGGCAAACGUGUCCGCCGAGAGGUCUAGCGUGGGGGCUGCCCGGGCCGUCGACGCCUCCCAGGGGACAGCUUCAAUCUCCCGGUUUUGGAGGUACUUUCGUCAAAAGAACUGGGUGCUAGGUGGCUUGAAGGUUUCCGUCAUACUGUGUUUGGGCUCGGAGAUUCAAGCUAUCAGAAAUACAAUUUUGCUGCAAAAAGGCUCGAUUGAAGGCUUUUACAUCUUGGUGCACCAAUCAGAGAUGACCAGCACCCUUCAGGGUCGUCUUCACUUUCGGUUGGGAGUUGGCUGGAGACAAGCGCAGGGAAACUUGAAGAACAACAGCUGAAGUUCCCCCACUGCUACGUGCGGGCACCCGCCACCUUUCCGCCUCCGGUCCAUGAAUUGACUCGUGGUUGGCAAAGAAUUUCUUUUCAGAUAAAUUCGCAGGUACUCUGUUUCCAGAAGCAUCCUCUGAGAUGAGCUGUUUUCUUAGUGUGCUUAAUGUAUCUAUGGGCUGAUUUACUUCGUUACCAUAAAAUAAUAUUGGCAAUGAAAAAAUAAUAUGUUGUCAACAUAUGGUAUGUUUUUUUUUCAUGGAUUUUUAUCCUUUAAUUUAAAAUAAACCCCACCAAAUUUUAUUACCGUCU